rnacentral:tRNA from 9 species
GGGUUGCUAACUCAACGGUAGAGUACUCGGCUUUUAAGCCGACUAGUUCCGGGUUCGAAUCCCGGGCAACCCA